UUACAGGCCUGCUCCAGCACACAGAGAGACCCAGGUGUUGGUGUGUCAUCAUUAAACCCGCAGCGAUGGGGAGCCAAGCUUACCUCUACUCCCAGCUCUUCCUGGAGAGAUGUCCCUGGGGGACCCAGCAGUGGCAGAUCAGACUCAGUGCCACAGACAGGGUCAAGAACAAACGUUUGACUCUUCAUGAACUGCUUGGAGGAAAAGGCAACAACAGGACCUGUGGCUGAACAGGACCCUUAAGAGCAAAAGGAUUUGGCAGACUGGGACUGCCCAUGGCCAGGGAUAACCCUUGGCUGGACCACACAGACUCUCCAGAUGGGCCGUGACUCCAAAGACAGGAUGGCAAGCAGCUUUGACUGUCUGGUGUGCAGAUACCAAAUCCAGGAGACACCCUGCACUGACACCUGCACUGCAGUAGGAUAAAUGUGGGGCGCCAGCACAAGGGAAAUUCGGGAUUGCACGUAAUCCUGAUGUGGUCAGGAGGGCUGCAGUAGAUUCAGGAGAAAAGAAGCUAUGGUCAUGCAGAGAGGAAAUGUUAUUGAUGGCCAUAAAAGACUGGCUGCAGCUGAGCUUGUGGGCUGAGGCUGGGACGGGCGAUCGGAACGCGGUCUCUGAUCCAGCUGGUUUGAAAUCCAGAUGGGAGGCUUGACUGUGAUGUAGCCAUUGGUUAUCCUGAUAUAGGAAGGCAACGUGGUGGUGCUAAAAGAAAACACAAGAGAAGGAAA